AGUGGCGGACGGGUGAGUAACGCGUGAGAAUCUGCCUUGGGGUCGGGGACAACCACUGGAAACGGUGGCUAAUACCGGAUAAGCCGAUUGGUGAAAGAUUUAUUGCCCGAAGAGGAGCUCGCGUCUGAUUAGCUAGUUGGUGAGGUAAGAGCUCACCAAGGCAGCGAUCAGUAGCUGGUCUGAGAGGACGAUCAGCCACACUGGGACUGAGACACGGCCCAGACUCCUACGGGAGGCAGCAGUGGGGAAUUUUCCGCAAUGGGCGAAAGCCUGACGGAGCAAGACCGCGUGAGGGAGGAAGGCUCUUGGGUUGUAAACCUCUUUUCUCAGGGAAGAAGCUCUGACGGUACCUGAGGAAUCAGCCUCGGCUAACUCCGUGCCAGCAGCCGCGGUAAUACGGAGGAGGCAAGCGUUAUCCGGAAUUAUUGGGCGUAAAGCGUCCGCAGGUGGCGAUUCAAGUCUGCUGUCAAAGCACGGGGCUUAACUCCGUAAAGGCAGUGGAAACUGAAUAGCUAGAGUGCCGUAGGGGUAGAGGGAAUUCCCGGUUAGCGGUGAAAUGCGUAGAGAUCGGGAAGAACAUCGGUGGCGAAAGCGCUCUACUGGACGGCAACUGACACUCAGGGACGAAAGCUAGGGGAGCGAAUGGGAUUAGAUACCCC
rnacentral:rRNA from 1 species